ACAGGGAGGGGAUUUGUGGAGAUUACAAAGGCUUGAAACGUCCCUCCUGGCUACGGAGCACCCAGGUCUGGGCAGACCCACGAUGGACAGACGGACAGGGCAGAGCGAAGCCACCGAGCCCACCAAGGACCAUCUCUUCUCCAUUGCCUGCUGCAGGGGUGGCUCCUGGGGUACCUGGAGGGGGAGCCGAGCCUUAUCUGACGGCAGCGUUUCCACGGAGGAGAUCAGAGGGCUUUGAAGGCGUCGCGGGAGCUCGGCGGAGCAGCUUGGGACGAGGCUGACAGUGAUUUGGCACUGCAGAUCCAUCCUUCCUCAGCUUUCCCACCAUUUCAGGUGUUGUGAUACCUCCAACUUGCAGAGCACCCAUGGAGCAGCCCCCUCAUCCCUCAGGAGACAUUCCGACCACCCAGGAAACUUUUUCAAGCCAGCCGCGAUGCAGAGGCUUUGUGCAUGGCCAGAUGCUCUUCUGCCUUCAAACUGGUGAAGAAAUCGCAAGGAGGGGCAUGAGUCGGCAGGGCUGAGGGGCAAAGCUGGACCCAAACUAGCAAACAGGGUGUUAAGGCACAUCAGGAACACGACAGCGACUAAAAUUCGCUGCCCUUAAUCUCAGCCCAGGGCAGAACGGAGGUCUGGGCUGCCUCUGCCUCCAGCUCUGGCCUGUCCCCUCUCCCAGCUGCUCUUUCUUAUUUCAUGCUCAUCCUGUUGUCCUGCCUGCAGGUCAUUAAAACCAUCUUUAAACUUUGCUUCCACCCAUCCCUAGGGCUAAGUGCACUCCAGAUGACUCUGAUCUCCUCCCCAACCCCUCGUCCCCUACAUUAACCCCUUUGGGACCUGCUAAUGCAGCGCAAAAGCGGAGAGAUAAAUCACGUGAGCUCCGAUUCCCCAUCCCUGAUGGUUUUAGCUGCAGUAAGAAAUCCCCCCGGCUGCCCCGACAGGCCGAGGUGGAUCAUUUCUUCAACUGCUCGACUUUGGAGCCGGCACGCUCACAAACCAGAACAGCGACAGUUUAAACUCAGGGAAGACGGAGGCAAAGGGAUAUUGUCCCUUCUGCCCUCCCCGCCGUGGCGCAGGUCCUUACGGCAGGACGGGCAGCUGCCUUUUGAGCAUCCCCAACCAGCUCCGUGAGUCCCCAGCGCGCAGUAGCCACAGCCCUACCUUGGUUUUUCUUCCCUGGAAGGAGUUUUCCGUAGCCGGCUGCCACCGCUCCG